AUGGCGGCGCACAAGUACAUCAUCCCUGUCCUCCUCCUCCUUCUCCUAACCACUGCCGGCGGCGAGGCCCCACGUGAUGACCGAGAUCCCCUCCUCCACACCCCGGUACCGCCGCCGCCUACGCCUGCCGCACACCGCUCCUCCACUCUCCUCAUAGUUCUGCUCAGCUUAGCUGCUGCCUUCGUGCUAGCCUGCUUCGCAUGCUUGGUUUACCGCUGCUGCUGGGCUCCUGGCGACGACGGCGAGGAUGUCCACCCACCGCCGCCGCCGCCGCCGCAGAUAGUGGUACACAUGGCGCCUCCCGCUGUGGUGCAGGUGUAG
rnacentral:rRNA from 1 species